AGGGGGCAAGCGUUAUCCGGAUUUACUGGGUGUACAGGGAGCGUAGGUGGCAGGGCAAGUCAGAUGUGAAAACCCGGGGCUCAACCCCGGGAGUGCAUUUGAAACUGUCCGGCUGGAGUGCAGGAGAGGUAAGCGGAAUUCCUAGUGUAGCGGUGAAAUGCAUAGAUAUUAGGAGGAACACCAGUGGCGAAGGCGGCUUACUGGACUGUAACUGACACGGAGGCGCGAAAGCGUGGGGGGAAA
rnacentral:rRNA from 1 species